UGUGAGAGCAAGAGCCCGGAGAUGGAUUCUGAGACACGAAUCCAGGCCCUACGGGGUGCAGCAGGCGCGAAAACUUUACAAUGCUGGCAACAGCGAUAAGGGAACCUCGAGUGCCAGGUUACAAAUCUGGCUGUCGAGAUGCCUAAAAAGCAUUUCAUAGCAAGGGCCGGGCAAGACCGGUGCCAGCCGCCGCGGUAAUACCGGCGGCUCGAGUGGUGGCCACUAUUACUGGGCUUAAAGCGUUCGUAGCUGGGUUGUUAAGUCUCUUGGGAAAUCCACCGGCUCAACCGAUGGGCGACCAGGGGAAACUGGCAUUCUAGGGACCGGGAGAGGUGAGAGGUACUCCAGGGGUAGGAGUGAAAUCCUGUAAUCCUUGGGGGACCACCGAUGGCGAAGGCAUCUCACCAGAACGGCUCCGACAGUGAGGAACGAAAGCUGGGGGAGCAAACCGGAUUAGAUACCCGGGUAGUCCCAGCUGUAAACGAUGCGCGUUAGGUGUAUCGGUGACCACGAGUUACCGAGGUGCCGAAGGGAAACCGUGAAACGCG
rnacentral:rRNA from 1 species